rnacentral:rRNA from 1 species
UGGGGAAUUUUGGACAAUGGGCGAAAGCCUGAUCCAGCCAUGCCGCGUGAGUGAAGAAGGCCUUCGGGUUGUAAAGCUCUUUUAGUCGGAAAGAAAGAGUCGCAAUGAAUAAUUGUGAUUUAUGACGGUACCGACAGAAAAAGCACCGGCUACCUACGUGCCAGCAGCCGCGGUAAUACGUAGGGUGCGAGCGUUAAUCGGAAUUACUGGGCGUAAAGGGUGCGCAGGCGGUUUUGCAAGUCAGAUGUGAAAGCCCCGGGCUUAACCUGGGAAUUGCGUUUGAAACUACAAGGCUAGAGUGCAGCAGAGGGGAGUGGAAUUCCAUGUGUAGCAGUGAAAUGCGUAGAGAUGUGGAAGAACACCGAUGGCGAAGGCAGCUCCCUGGGUUGACACUGACGCUCAUGCACGAAAGCGUGGGGAGCAAACA